AUUGAACGCUGGCGGCAGGCCUAACACAUGCAAGUCGAGCGAGCGGCGGACGGGUGAGUAAUGUACGGGGACUGCCCGAUCGCGGGGGAGAACUACUGGAAACGGUAGCUAAUACCGCAUACUAUCGGAUAACCCAUAUGGGAUUAGCUAGUAGGUGAGGGAAUGGCUCACCUAGGCGACGAUCCCUAGCUGGUCUGAGUGGAUGAUCAGCCACACUGGGGCUGAGACAGGGCCCAGACUCCUACGGAGGCAGCAGGGGGGAAUAUUGCACAAUGAACGCAAGCCUGAUGCAGCCAGGCCGCGUGUAUGAAGAAGGCCCUAGGGUUGUAAAGUACUUUCAGUCGGGAGGCGUUACCGACAGAAGAAGCACCGGCUAACUCCGUGCCAGCAGCCGCGGUAAUAC
rnacentral:rRNA from 1 species